GACGAACGCUGGCGGCGUGCCUAAUACAUGCAAGUAGAACGCUGAAGGAGGAGCUUGCUCUUCUGGAUGAGUUGCGAACGGGUGAGUAACGCGUAGGUAACCUGCCUGGUAGCGGGGGAUAACUAUUGGAAACGAUAGCUAAUACCGCAUAACAGUAGAUGUUGCAUGACAUUUACUUAAAAGUUGCAAUUGCAUCACUACCAGAUGGACCUGCGUUGUUUUAGCUAGGUGGUGGGGUAACGGCUCACCGAGGCGACGAUACAUAGCCGACCUGGGAGGGGGAUCUGCCACACUGGGGCGGGGACACGGCCCAAACUCCUACGGGAUGCAGCAGUGGGGAAUCUUCGGCCAUGGGCGGAAGUCUGAGCGAGAAACGCCGCGGGAGUGAAGAAGGUUGUCGGGUCGUAGAGCUCGGUUGUAAGGGAGGAACGAGUGUGAGAGUGGAAAGUUCACACUGUGACGGUAGCUUACCAGAAAGGGACGGCUAACUACGUG
rnacentral:rRNA from 1 species